AGAGAUGUGUGAUGACGCAUAUCAAUAAGCGGAGGAAAAGAAACUAACUAGGAUUCCCUUAGUAACGGCGAGUGAAGCGGGAAGAGCUCAAAUUUGAAAUCUUCAAGGUUCUACCUUGACGAAUUGUAGUUUAUAGAAGUGUUUUCUGUUAGUGGAGUGGCAAAAGUUCUUUGGAAUAGGACAUCAUAGAGGGUGAGAAUCCCGUAUUUGGUCAUUCUUUCUAGCUUUGUGAUACACUUUCAACGAGUCGGGUUGUUUGGGAAUGCAGUCCAAAUGGGUGGUAAAUUUCAUCUAAAGCUAAAUAUUGGCGAGAGACCGAUAGCGAACAAGUACCGUGAGGGAAAGAUGAAAAGAACUUUGAAAAGAGAGUUAAACAGUACGUGAAAUUGUCAAAAGGGAAGCGUUUGACACCAGUGUUGUUUUUCCGAAAAUCAAUUACGAAUGUUUUGUUUUUGAGGAGUUAUGACUUCAUCGGCUUGCUCCUUUCUUUACUGAAACUUUCUUAAUGCACUUUUCGGUUAACAAGUCAACAUCAAUUUCUUUUGUUGUAAAAGGGUAAUGAGGAAGGUGGCUUUCUUUUCGGAGAAAGUGUUUAUAGCCUUGUACCUCUGCAAUCGGAGAGAUUGAGGUCUGCAGCGUAGAUCCUUCGGGGUUAGAUACAUUUGUGCUAAGUUAUAGCUUUUCAUAGACAACUUGUUGACUAUGUUUAGUCUUGUAGCUUACUCGCUUAUGCUAUUUUACCUACGCUUAGGAUGUUGAGUAGCGACAUACGCAC
rnacentral:rRNA from 1 species